rnacentral:lncRNA from 1 species
CUAGUAAGCAUUCCUGUGGACGGUGACUAUAGGCUUUUGGAAGUGCAGCUCUAGAGUAGCAAGACACAGCAUUUUCUAACUUCAUUUGUCAGAGCAACAUAUAAUUGCCUUCACAGCAAGUUACCCAUUUCACCUUGUUUUUGGAAUCCAUACCUUAGAGUUCUUCCCCAGAUCCUAACUUGCACAUGAGCCUGUAUUUGUUCCCCUCCAGAAAAUUUAUUUCCCUGUUAGAUUGUUUUCUUACACAUUUACUCUAUCAGAUUCAACUACGUCGGAAGAAGAACAUGCCAUUUUGUAGUUUGCCAAAUGAAGUACAGCUCCAACUCUGCCAGACCACAAUCUAUCGAGAGGCUGGAAAAACUACCAUCUCUGACCACUUAAAUUCUCAUUUCCUUGUAUUCAUCACAUUUGUAAGUACACAACAGAAGCAUUAACUUUUUCGCUUAAAAUUCUGGCAGGGGGCCCCUGUG